GGAUGUGAGGGCGAUCUGGCUGCGACAUCUGUCACCCCAUUGAUCGCCAGGGUUGACUCGGCUGGCUAGGCAGGUGUCCCCUUCCUCCCUCACCGCUCCAUGUGCGUCCCUCCCGAAGCUGCACGCUCAGUCGAAGAGGACGACCAUCCCCGAUAGAGGAGGACCAUUUUUCAGUCAAAGGUAUAAGAGUAGCUGUGUUCCCCUGCUAGAACCUCUAAACAAGCUCUCAAAACAUGGUACCACCACCAUACAUAUAUAUACACACAUAUAUAUAUGUACGUACAUAUACAUACACACAUAUAU
rnacentral:snRNA from 1 species